AUUGAACGCUGGUGGCAUGCUUAACACAUGCAAGUCGAACGGCAACAGAAAGUAGCUUGCUACUUUGCUGACGAGUGGCGGACGGGUGAGUAAUGCAUAGGAAUCUGCCUUGUGGAGGGGGAUAGCUCAGGGAAACUUGAGGUAAUACCGCGUAAGACCGAAAGGUGAAAGGGGGCGCAAGCUCUCGCCAUAAGAUGAGCCUAUGUUGGAUUAGCUAGUUGGUGAGGUAAAGGCUCACCAAGGCGACGAUCCAUAGCUGUUCUGAGAGGAAGGACAGCCACACUGGGACUGAGACACGGCCCAGACUCCUACGGGAGGCAGCAGUGGGGAAUAUUGGACAAUGGGGGCAACCCUGAUCCAGCAAUGCCAUGUGUGCGAAGAAGGCCUUCGGGUUGUAAAGCACUUUAGUGAGGGAGGAAAGUUGUAGUGCUAAUACCACUAUAAAUUGACAGUACCUCAAGAAUAAGCACCGGCAAACUCUGUGCCAGCCGCCGCAGUAACAC
rnacentral:rRNA from 1 species